rnacentral:rRNA from 14 species
GGAUAAUCAGCGGGGAAAGAAGCCCUGUUGAGCUUGACUCUAGUCCGACUUUGUGAAAUGACUUAGGAGGUGUAGCAUAAGUGGGAGCUCCGGCGAUCUUGAAAUACCACUACUCUUAAUGUUAUUUUACUUAUUCUGUGAAGCUGGAGCUUGCUACAUUGUGAGUUUUGGAUUUAAGAUUGAUCUUAUGAUUGGUUGAUUUGUGUGGAAGACAUAAUCAGGUGGGGAGUUUGGCUGGGG